UGUGGUGUUUUAGAGUGGUGUGAACCCAAUUUUAUAAAGUUUAACUCCCAUUUUAAUUAAGAAGUCAAGUGGGCAAGUGGGUAGAAAAGCACUCAAGUGUUUUGUGAUAUUUUGAAGAGUUGUGUGAGCCAUUCUAACCCCUAAAUCCGACCACUCUCCCUCCCUCAUUCACUCUCAUCUGAUUUUUGAAGACUCUCUCAAGUGUUCUCUCCAUUUUGAACCCCAAGAACACCAAAGAAACUUGGAAGCUAAGUCUUGGUCUAGGAAGGGUUUUCCCUAAGUUGGUUAGGGUUUUUGAAAGGUUUUGAAGGAGUCAAAGCUUAUAGGAAGGUCCAAACCUUAAGCAAGAACACCAAAGAGUAUUGGCUAAGCGUAACUGGACUGAACGUUGGAGGGUGAAAACCUGCUGAGCGCUAAGGACUCCAAGUAAGUCAACUUAUAUUGUAUGGCUGCAACAUGAAAUGAUUAUUGUCUUGUAUGUUAGUAUAGGGAUACAUGCACAUAUGUAGGCUGUCAUAGAAAGUUGCUUAGAGACGUUAGUCUAGUGAGUGCUGAUUUAGAAAAUAUGAACGGUAGAAGUCCGUCAUAUCCUAGACGGUUGAUCCCCGUCACACUGCUUGAUUUUAUUUAUGUCCGGUUCAUUACCGCGACGAGUGGCCAUGAGAUGAGGAUAAGCUGGUUAAACCUAGGGGAGCCAAGAUAA